AUGAACGCUAGCUACAGGCUUAACACAUGCAAGUCGAGGGGCAGCAUGGUCUUAGCUUGCUAAGGCCGAUGGCGACCGGCGCACGGGUGAGUAACACGUAUCCAACCUGCCGUCUACUCUUGGACAGCCUUCUGAAAGGAAGAUUAAUACAAGAUGGCAUCAUGAGUCCGCAUGUUCACAUGAUUAGAGGUAUUCCGGUAGACGAUGGGGAUGCGUUCCAUUAGAUAGUAGGCGGGGUAACGGCCCACCUAGUCUUCGAUGGAUAGGGGUUCUGAGAGGAAGGUCCCCCACAUUGGAACUGAGACACGGUCCAAACUCCUACGGGAGGCAGCAGUGAGGAAUAUUGGUCAAUGGGCGAGAGCCUGAACCAGCCAAGUAGCGUGAAGGAUGACUGCCCUAUGGGUUGUAAACUUCUUUUAUAAAGGAAUAAAGUCGGGUAUGGAUACCCGUUUGCAUGUACUUUAUGAAUAAGGAUCGGCUAACUCCGUGCCAGCAGCCGCGGUAAUACGGAGGAUCCGAGCGUUAUCCGGAUUUAUUGGGUUUAAAGGGAGCGUAGAUGGAUGUUUAAGUCAGUUGUGAAAGUUUGCGGCUCAACCGUAAAAUUGCAGUUGAUACUGGAUAUCUUGAGUGCAGUUGAGGCAGGCGGAAUUCGUGGUGUAGCGGUGAAAUGCUUAGAUAUCACGAAGAACUCCGAUUGCGAAGGCAGCCUGCUAAGCUGCAACUGACAUUGAGGCUCGAAAGUGUGGGUAUCAAACAGGAUUAGAUACCCUGGUAGUCCACACGGUAAACGAUGAAUACUCGCUGUUUGCGAUAUACUGCAAGCGGCCAAGCGAAAGCGUUAAGUAUUCCACCUGGGGAGUACGCCGGCAACGGUGAAACUCAAAGGAAUUGACGGGGGCCCGCACAAGCGGAGGAACAUGUGGUUUAAUUCGAUGAUACGCGAGGAACCUUACCCGGGCUUAAAUUGCAGAUGAAUUACGGUGAAAGCCGUAAGCCGCAAGGCAUCUGUGAAGGUGCUGCAUGGUUGUCGUCAGCUCGUGCCGUGAGGUGUCGGCUUAAGUGCCAUAACGAGCGCAACCCUUGUUGUCAGUUACUAACAGGUUCCGCUGAGGACUCUGACAAGACUGCCAUCGUAAGAUGUGAGGAAGGUGGGGAUGACGUCAAAUCAGCACGGCCCUUACGUCCGGGGCUACACACGUGUUACAAUGGGGGGUACAGAGGGCCGCUACCACGCGAGUGGAUGCCAAUCCCCAAAACCUCUCUCAGUUCGGACUGGAGUCUGCAACCCGACUCCACGAAGCUGGAUUCGCUAGUAAUCGCGCAUCAGCCACGGCGCGGUGAAUACGUUCCCGGGCCUUGUACACACCGCCCGUCAAGCCAUGGGAGCCGGGGGUACCUGAAGUGCGUAACCGCGAGGAGCGCCCUAGGGUAAAACUGGUGACUGGGGCUAA
rnacentral:rRNA from 1 species